rnacentral:rRNA from 1 species
UAGCGUAUAUUAAAGUUGUUGCAGUUAGAACGCUCGUAGUCGGAUUUCGGGGCGGGCCGACCGGUCUGCCGAUGGGUACGCACUGGUCGGCGCGUCCUUCCUUCCGGAGACCGUGCCUACUCUUAACUGAGCGGGGGCGGGAGACGGAUCGUUUACUUUGAAAAAAUCAGAGUGUUUCAAGCAGGCAGCUCGCUCUUGCAUGGAUUAGCAUGGGAUAAUGAAAUAGGACUUUGGUGCUAUUUUGUUGGUUUCGAACACCGAAGUAAUGAUUAAAAGGGACAGUCAGGGGCACUCGUAUUCCGCAGAGAGAGGUGAAAUUCUCAGACCCGCGGAAGACGAACCACUGCGAAAGCAUUUG